rnacentral:rRNA from 1 species
CACGUAGGGCGCAAGCGUUGUCCGGAAUUAUUGGGCGUAAAGGGCUCGUAGGCGGCCAACUAAGUCGGACGUGAAAUCCCCAGGCUCAACCUGGGAACCUGCGUCCGAUACUGGAUGGCUUGAAUCCGGGAGAGGGAUGCAGAAUUCCAGGUGUAGCGGUGAAAUGCGUAGAUAUCUGGAGGAAUACCGGUGGCGAAGGCGGCAUCCUGGACCGGCAUUGACGCUGAGGAGCGAAAGCCAGGGGAGCAAACGGG